CCCUGCGUGUUCUACCAAGUUA
rnacentral:miRNA from 1 species